rnacentral:rRNA from 1 species
UGGGGAAUAUUGCACAAUGGGGGAAACCCUGAUGCAGCGACGCCGCGUGAGCGAAGAAGUAUUUCGGUAUGUAAAGCUCUAUCAGCAGGGAAGAUAAUGACGGUACCUGACUAAGAAGCCCCGGCUAACUACGUGCC